rnacentral:piRNA from 1 species
UCCAAGUGAAAGGUUCCUUUUCAAUGGGCU